AGAGACUUGUAUCCAGUAUAUAUGAAGAAUUCUUGCAACAAGAAAACAACCCAAUUAAAAUUGUCAAAGGACUUGAAUAGAAAUUUCUCCAAAGAUGAUAGAAGAAUGAUUAACAUGCACAGGGAUGUAUGUGUAACAACAUGAGUCAUUAGGGAAAAGGUACAUCAAAACCACAAUGAAAUACUACUUCAUGAGUACUAUAAAGUCUACAGUCAAAAAGGCAAUAGCAAGUACAGAUGAGAAUAGGGAAUUAGAACUCUCGUAUAUUUCUGGUGGGAAUGUCAAAGGCGGCAGCCCCUUUGGCAAAUACUUGGGCAGUUUAUCAAAAUGUUAAACAUAGAAUUACCACAGGGUCCAGCAAUUCUGCCUCUAGGUAUCUACCCAGGAAAAAUGAAAACAUGUUUACCAAAGACUUGUACAUGAAUGCGCAGAGUAAUAUUAUUCAUACGAGACAAAAAAUGGAACAACCGAAAUAUGCAUCCAUUGAUGAAUGGAUAAACAAAAUAUGUUAAAUCCAUACAAUGGAAUACUAUUGGUCAACAAGAAGGGUCCACAUACUGAUACAUGUAGCAAUGUGGAUACAUUUCCAAAACAUUCUUCUGAAUGAAAGAAGUCAGACACAGAAGACCGCAUACUGUGUCAAGAGAGAAGGAAGAAAAAGAGGGAGGAAAGAAAGAUCAAGGAAAGAAAGAGAAAGAAGAGAGGGAAGAAGGACCGAAGGAAAGCUGACCAGGAAAAAAAAAGUGCUUCUAUCAAUUUGGUUACUUCUUCAAAGAAUGUGAAAAGUCCCCAACAAAAGUAUACAAGACUUUAUUAUUUUGCUGAAGAAAUGGAUAUGUUCAGCCUGCUAUUUGGGGCAGGACUUCAAGGACUGGAAUGAAAGACACCACCCUUUUCGGAUAUGGAAUCCUUGGAUGAAAUGUGCUUUGAACAAAAUUCUUUCUCCGUUUAGUUUGUUUGACACUACUCAGCCUUGUAAUAGG